UUGUUGUCGCCGUGUUCUCGCUGUCGGGUUCGAAAUUCACCUAGUUGUGUUCUCGCCGUCGUGUUUGUCUGGACGUAUUCCUGCUGUCGUGUUUGUCUGGACGUAUUCUCGUCGCCGAUCUCGUCGCUUUGCCUUAUUGUGAAUUGGAUUAGAUACGAUGAAGUCUUUGAAAGGAGAAUGAACAAACACGGUGAUAGGAGACCUGGAGAUUGGGUAAUUUCGUUUUUGCUAAAGUCAAAAGGCUUCCAUGCUUGGCCUGCUAAGGUUUUUGUGACAGAACAACCUUGAACAACAACACAGUCAAUGCCACAAUUGAUUGGAUAGGAAACUGUAAUAUCAACAAUGAAACGCUUCUAUAUGUGCCUUGUGGUGUGUAUUUGACUCAGAGCUUCAAUCAUUGAUAUUGAGUUUGGUGAUCUCGUUCUUGCUAAAGUCAAAGGCGUGCUAAUGUAUCUAUCUCUCUCUCUCGGUUUAAUUCAUGAUCAUGUUUUAUUUUUUUCUAGGGUGGUCUUGCACAUACUGUUGUUUA